UUGUGGGUGAUUGUUCCUGUCUUUGUUUGUGGCACAAGAUAGGACUGUUUUGGUUUUGUCACGUUUCUUGUUUUGUAGAUCGUUGUAUUUUCAUCUUUAUUAAGGAUGUACAAAACUAACCACGCUGCAUUUUGGUCUGCCUCUCUUUCACCAGAAGAAAACUGUUAGAGGUCACGUACACAUAUUUUGCAAAUUUUAUUGUGGACCUCCCCCAGCGAGCACAUGACUCCAGUGCUGUUGAACCCCCACUGGCUCCCCAUAUGCUCACGCAUCGACUACAACUCUGGACCCAACAAAAAGGCAAACUGCUCAUUUGGUCGAAAAUGAGUUAAUGUCAUUUUUGCAACAUUAGAUGCUUAAUCAUGUGGACAUGUAUCCUGCCUCCAUUGUAUUGUGUUUUGGAGAAGAUGUGGGGUCACGUUAGCAGUAACUGCAUAAAGUUACUGUGAAACCAAGGUCUGUCUCCCUUCAGCAGCCCCGCAACAGACUAAAAACUAUGGGUGACAGGGCUUUCAGUUGCGCUGCUUCGCCGCUGUAGAACACACUUCCAGACACAAUUAGGGCUGCAGAAUCUCUGUCCUCGUUGAAGGCACAGCUCAAGAUUGUGCUAUUCAGAAAAGCUUUCAAGGACCCCUGCCAAUUAUGUUCUCCUGUCCUGGCGAUACCUGUAUAUAGCUUUAAUUGUUGUCUGUGUUUUGGAUUGUUUUUAUUAUUUUAUAUAUUUUUGGGGCACCUUGGGUGUGAGAAAAGCUCUUUAUAAAUGAAAUGAAUGAUUAUUUAUUAAAAUAGGCCUACUGUUCACCUGUUUCUGUAAUAAAUAAAAAAUAAUACUACCACGAGCAGUGCAAUGGAUGCAUGCCAUUCAUCAUGGAUAAUUAACAUUGGUUUCUGCAGGCGUAUUUAACCAGUACAAUGGC